UACGUAGGGUGCAGGCGUUUAAUCGGAAUUACUGGGCGUAAAGCGUGCGCAGGCGGCUCCUUAAGUCAGAUGUGAAAUCCCCGGGCUUAACCUGGGAACUGCGUUUGAAACUGGGGAGCUUGGGUGUGGAAGAGGGGGGUGGAAUUCCAGGUGUAGCAGUGAAAUGCGUAGAGAUCUGGAGGAACACCGAUGGCGAAGGCAGCCCCCCUGGGCUAACACUGACGCUCAUGCACGAAAGCGUGGGGAGCAAACAGG
rnacentral:rRNA from 1 species